rnacentral:rRNA from 1 species
CGAACGAUGAACCACUUCGGUGGGGAUUAGUGGCGAACGGGUGAGUAACACGUGGGCAAUCUGCCCUUCACUCUGGGACAAGCCCUGGAAACGGGGUCUAAUACCGGAUAACACUCUCGCAGGCAUCUGUGAGGGUUAAAAGCUCCGGCGGUGAAGGAUGAGCCCGCGGCCUAUCAGCUUGUUGGUGAGGUAAUGGCUCACCAAGGCGACGACAGGUAGCCGGCCUGAGAGGGCGACCGGCCACACUGGGACUGAGACACGGCCCAGACUCCUACGGGAGGCAGCAGUGGGGAAUAUUGCACAAUGGGCGAAAGCCUGAUGCACCGACGCCGCGUGAGGGAUGACGGCCUUCGGGUUGUAAACCUCUUUCAGCAGGGAAGAAGCGAAAGUGACGGUACCUGCAGAAGAAGCGCCGGCUAACUACGUGCCAGCAGCCGCGGAAAUACGUAGGGCGCAAGCGUUGUCCGGAAUUAUUGGGCGUAAAGAGCUCGUAUGCGGCUUGUCACGUCGAUUGUGAAAGCCCGAGGCUUAACCUCGGGUCUGCAGUCGAUACGGGCUAGCUAGAGUGUGGUAGGGGAGAUCGGAAUUCCUGGUGUAGCGGUGAAAUGCGCAGAUAUCAGGAGGA